GGAGAUCCGUCCUGGAAAAGCCUUCUCCACCCUGGGCACUUUAAGCGGCGGUGGCGGCAAACGGCAGGAGGUUGCAGACCCGACAGCGAGACUCCCUCAUUCCAGUCUUGCUCUGCCCUCCGGAGAUGACAAGUGAGAAAGAAGUGUCCGGCCGGGCCAUCCCCUUCAGAGAAGCAACCACUUCACAAGAAGAUUCUGAAGUUGGCCAUUUUUGAUCCCAGAACAGUUUCUCAUAGAUUAGAAAUAUUGGAGUCUACACAAAAAUCGAUAUUCAUUUACAAGAUCAUCACUAAACUUAUCUUGCAUAACUUACCAAGAAUAACUGUAAAAUGUGCUGGGAAUGCAAUGUCCUGAGAUAAGGAAGAACUGCCUGAAACAGCCUGGAUCUUAUUCCUGUACUUCC
rnacentral:lncRNA from 10 species